GAGGCGCACUAUCUCUACGCACACGAUCCCCACCUCCUCGACCUGACCUGCCCAGCCAGCCCCUCUCCUCAGUGAACUCCGCCUCAGCCGUCGCCACCCGCCGUCCCGUUCCUCCCUGCGACCUCUGCUUGGACAGCUUGCAGCUCGGAUCCUCGGAGCCGCUGCCUCGAUUUCCUCCUACUCGGUCCACUCGCUGUUCCUCCUGCAACCUUCCCCUUGGCACUCUGCUCUAUGGUGCUUCCGGCUUCAUCGCCGCCUCACCAACCACUGCUUUCUGGUCCCCUCACCUCCGGCUGGAAGAUUUGGCCAGUGUAAAGCAUUUGCAAAUUUUGGCGACUUUCUUUGAUGGGGAUUAUAUGGAUCUAGGGAUUACUUUGAUGCUGUCCAGUUAACCACAUUUGGUUGAUUCAAGCGGGUCUCCUCACUUCCGGUUGGAAGAUUUGGCCAGUGCUAGAGCAUUUGCAAAUUUUAUGGAUUUUCUUCGAUGGGGAGUAUAUGGAUCUGAGGAUUUCUUUGGUACUAUCCAUUUAGCCUCAUAUUGUUGAUUCAUACAGGUCCCCUCAUCUACUCCUGCUGGAGGCUGCUGCUGCGGUUUUCUUGAUGGAUUUUAUCAAACUCUCUCGGAUACUUCCCCUCUUUCUUAUUUCUUACAAUCAUUUAUAUGCCGAUCAGUUUUUGUCCAAAACAUAUGUUUAUUCUCAUGCAUUGAUCUGCAAUGACCAAAUCUAUGCUUCGAUCUUUUAAUUUGCUACAGUUUUCCCUGCUUCUCUAAUCAGUACCAUUACAGAUUUGUCUCUGUGACUGCUUAUUGUACUUUCAAAUUGCUUUACAGUGCAUGCACAAGUCUGUUGCCUAUUUUAGUACUAACCAAUAUAUAGCUGUUCCCAACGAACAUGGUAAAAAUAUUAUCUCUGCAAUUCUUUGCUUCUAUAGAUUCUCAUGCUUACGAUAUCUAAUCGAUAUCCAUCCUUCUUUUGCAUGGUUUUCAUUUUCAGAACAUUUCAGCUUUCAGUAUAUGAAGUUCAUGAAUGAAGUGACCGUUGUCCGGCUUGCAACUGUUCCAUGGUGCAAAUCAAUCAGUUUGGAUAUGGAACACGCAUUGUACGGGUUGCUGCUUAUAGGUUGUUUGGAUAUCACUUAAUGGAUCAAACUAGCUUGUCAUAUUUGUUUAUAUACAUGUGCUAUUUGGAAUUAAGUGCAGUGGUUGUACGGGUUGAUUCAGAGUUGAUCCCAGCUUAUAUCAGGUGAUUAUAUUGAUAACAUGUAUUACAAAUUUUAUUGAUUUUCAGUUUGAGUUAAUAUUGUUUAUCACUGUAUGCAUUGUUUUUUCCUUAGCAAUAAAUUAAUUCUUCCCCUGGCCUGUUGGUUUCUGAUACAUGUGAUUUACCAUUGUUAUUUGCAAGUGAUUUAUGUCUCUCUCUACAGAUAAAAAGGUCACACAUCAUUCUGUGAAACUGGACCAUCUCCAGAUGCAUUAGUGAUCAACCUACAAGUUGCUUUCAUCUUUUAGGGACAGAGGUAGCAAGUAAGAAGUAUGACAUAACAUACAAAAUAGAGUUGUUUUUUUCCUAGCAGUUCAUUACCACCAUUUUCUGAGUUAUAUCUAUGCAAUACAUAACAAAAAAAGUCUCACUCUCUUUUGGCAUGUACUGAACAUUCACUUCUGAAUGAUUUUUGUUUUCUACAUGUUCAACGAAGGUACCUGCAUUGCUCUAAGCCUCUAACUACUUAGGUGGCAAAGAAAGAGGUUGGUUUACAUAUGCUAAUAUGCUAUGUUCUCAUCUUGCCUCACCACAGAUGCCAUGGUCUUACUCCCUUGGAUUACAAACUUACGGUUUAGCAAAUCAGUCUGUUGGUAACAUUACAAUACAGUUGGUUUUGUUUUGUAUCUUAUUAGGAGUUGCCUGCGAUUUUGCCCAGCCACUUUGGUUUGGAAGAAAGAAAUUGAUGACUGAAUCAAUGAAGCUGUGAGUGGCAACGUUGCCUGUACAGAAGGAUUGGUCUAUCUUACUUUUGGCUAUCAAAUUGUACCAUGUGCUCAUAUACCUACAAUUGAUUUAAGCUGGCAUCAAUAAGAAUUACACCAACAAAUAUCUUCAUA